GGACCCGCACAAGCGGUGGAGCAUGUGGUUUAAUUCGAUGCAACGCGAAAAACCUUACCUACACUUGACAUACUUGGAAUCUUUUGUAAUGAAAGAGUGCCUUUUGGAGCCAAGAUACAGGUGCUGCAUGGCUGUCGUCAGCUCGUGUCGUGAGAUGUUGGGUUAAGUCCCAUAACGAGCGCAACCCUUACCCUUAUUUGCCAGCGAUUCGGUCGGGAACUAUAAGGGGACUGCCGGUGAUAAACCGGAGGAAGGUGAGGACGACGUCAAGUCAUCAUGGCCCUUACGAGUAGGGCUACACACGUGCUACAAUGGGGAAUACAGACGGACGCUAAGCCGCGAGGUGGUGCUAAUCCUAGAAAGUUUCUCGUAGUCCGGAUUGGAGUCUGCAACUCGACUCCAUGAAGUCGGAAUCGCUAGUAA
rnacentral:rRNA from 1 species